rfam:Salmo salar isolate Sally breed double haploid chromosome ssa01, whole genome shotgun sequence.
UGCAUUCACUACUGUAAGUCUCUCUGGAUAAGUGUGUCUGCUAAAUGACUAAAA